rnacentral:misc_RNA from 1 species
AACAAUGCAAGUAUGUAAUGAGUGCAAAAGGAUCUCUUCAUUGAGAAAGCGGCCUAUAAAUACUAUUUUGUUCAUCUGAAUCUCUUCGUUUCUCCAUUUACGACUUGGAACAAUUUCAUAUAUUUCUCUCACGCCCUGUAAAGUGUGGAGUUCAUCCGAGUUUCUGACUCUUAAAAUUCCCUUGCAACGAUAAACGUCCAUGCCAUACUUUUUAUCCCAAAGGAGCUCCUCAAGCCAUAUACGAACCUUAUCAAGAUCAAUCUGCUGCGCGUCACAGAUGCACAAUGUUCUGACUUCACUGUCAU